AGAGUUUGAUCAUGGCUCAGAUUGAACGCUGGCGGCAGGCCUAACACAUGCAAGUCGGACGGUAGCACAGAGGAGCUUGCUCCUCGGGUGACGAGUGGCGGACGGGUGAGUAAUGUCUGGGGAUCUGCCCGAUAGAGGGGGAUAACCACUGGAAACGGUGGCUAAUACCGCAUAACGUCGCAAGACCAAAGAGGGGGACCUUCGGGCCUCUCACUAUCGGAUGAACCCAGAUGGGAUUAGCUAGUAGGCGGGGUAACGGCCCACCUAGGCGACGAUCCCUAGCUGGUCUGAGAGGAUGACCAGCCACACUGGAGCUGAGACACGGUCCAGACUCCUACGGGAGGCAGCAGUGGGGAAUAUUGCACAAUGGGCGCAAGCCUGAUGCAGCCAUGCCGCGUGUAUGAAGAAGGCCUUCGGGUUGUAAAGUACUUUCAGCGGGGAGGAAGGCAGUGAGGUUAAUAACCUUACUGAUUGACGUUACCCGCAGAAGAAGCACCGGCUAACUCCGUGCCAGCAGCCGCGGUAAUAC
rnacentral:rRNA from 1 species